rnacentral:rRNA from 1 species
AUUGAACGCUGGCGGCAGGCCUAACACAUGCAAGUCGAACGAGUGGCGGACGGGUGAGUAAUGUCUGGGAAACUGCCUGAUGGAGGGGGAUAACUACUGGAAACGGUAGCUAAUACCGCAUACCAUCGGAUGUGCCCAGAUGGGAUUAGCUAGUAGGUGGGGUAAAGGCUCACCUAGGCGACGAUCAGUAGCCGGUCUGAGAGGAUGAACGGCCACAUUGGGACUGAGACACAGUCAACACUCCUACGGGAGGCAGCAGUGGGGAAUAUUAGACAAUGGGCGAAAGCCUGAUCCAGCCAUGCCACGUGUGUGAAGAAGGUCUUCGGAGUGUAAAGCAAUUUAAGUUGGGAGGCGUUACCAACAGAAUAAGCACCGGCUAACUUCGUGCCAGCAGCCGCGGUAAUAC